AUGAAGGGAGGCAAGGCGAUGGGCCUGGAUUGUAUCCCCAUUGAGGUGUGGAAAGGUCUCGGGGACAUAGCGAUAGUAUGGCUAACCAAGCUUUUCAACCUCAUUUUUCGGGCAAACAAGAUGCCAGAAGAAUGGAGACGGAGUAUAUUAGUACCAAUCUUCAAGAACAAGGGGGGUGUUCAGAGUUGUACUAAUUACCGUGGAAUUAAGCUGAUGAGCCAUACAAUGAAGCUAUGGGAGAGAGUCAUUGAGCACCGCUUAAGAAGAAUGACAAGCGUGACCAAAAAUCAGUUUGGUUUCAUGCCUGGGAGGUCGACCAUGGAAACCAUUUCUUGGUAUGACAACUUAUGGAGAGAUAUAGGGAGCAAAAGAAGGACUUGCAUAUGGUGUUCAUUGACUUGGAGAAGGCCUAUGAUAAGAUACCGCGGAAUGUCAUGUGGUGGGCCUUGGAGAAACACAAAGUCCCAGCAAAGUACAUUACCCUCAUCAAGGACAUGUACGAUAAUGUUGUGA
rnacentral:rRNA from 1 species